rnacentral:rRNA from 1 species
UGGGGAAUAUUGCACAAUGGGGGAAACCCUGAUGCAGCGACGCCGCGUGAACGAAGAAGGUAUUCGUAUCGUAAAGUUCUGUCCUAUGGGAAGAUAAUGACAGUACCAUAGAAGAAAGCUCCGGCCAAAUACGUGCCAGCAGCCGCGGUAAUACGUAUGGAGCGAGCGUUGUCCGGAAUUAUUGGGCGUAAAGGGUACGCAGGCGGUUUAAUAAGUCGAAUGUUAAAGAUCGGGGCUCAACCCCGCAAAGCAUUGGAAACUGAUAAACUUGAGUAGUGGAGAGGAAAGUGGAAUUCCUAGUGUAGUGGUGAAAUACGUAGAUAUUAGGAGGAAUACCAGUAGCGAAGGCGACUUUCUGGACACAAACUGACGCUGAGGUACGAAAGCGUGGGGAGCAAACAGG